AACAGUUGCUUAACCAUUUGCAGC
rnacentral:siRNA from 1 species